rnacentral:tRNA from 1 species
UCCCUGGUGGCUCAGAUGGUAAAGAAUCUGCCUGCAAUGCAGGAGACCUGGGUUCAAUCCCUGGGUAGGGAA